UACAGAGGGGGCAAGCGUUGUUCGGAAUUACUGGGCGUAAAGGGCGCGUAGGCGGCCUGCUAAGUCGAACGUGAAAUCCCUGGGCUCAACCCAGGAACUGCGUCCGAUAAGUUGGUGCUUGAAUUCGGGAGAGGGAUGUGGAAUUCCGAGUGUAGAGGUGAAAUUCGUAGAUAUUCGGAAGAACACCAGUGGCGAAGGCGGCUCACUGGACCGGUAUUGACGCUGAGGUGCGAAAGCGUGGGGAGCAAACAGG
rnacentral:rRNA from 1 species